rnacentral:rRNA from 1 species
UACGGAGGGGGCUAGCGUUGUUCGGAAUUACUGGGCGUAAAGCGUGCGCAGGCGGUUUUGUAAGACCGAUGUGAAAUCCCCGGGCUUAACCUGGGAACUGCGCUUGUUACUGGCAGGCUUGAGUGUGGCAGAGGGGGGUGGAAUUCCACGUGUAGCAGUGAAAUGCGUAGAGAUGUGGAGGAACACCGAUGGCGAAGGCAGCCCCCUGGGCUAACACUGACGCUCAUGCACGAAAGCGUGGGGAGCAAACAGG